rnacentral:rRNA from 1 species
GAUGAACGCUGGCGGCGUGCCUAAUACAUGCAAGUCGAGCGAACAGACGAGGAGCUUGCUCCUCUGACGUUAGCGGCGGACGGGUGAGUAACACGUGGAUAACCUACCUAUAAGACUGGGAUAACUUCGGGAAACCGGAGCUAAUACCGGAUAAUAUAUUGAACCGCAUGGUUCAAUAGUGAAAGACGGUUUUGCUGUCACUUAUAGAUGGAUCCGCGCCGCAUUAGCUAGUUGGUAAGGUAACGGCUUACCAAGGCGACGAUGCGUAGCCGACCUGAGAGGGGGAGCGGCGACAAGGGGAGUGAGAACAGAUAUAGACUAAAGCGGGAGGGAGCAGGAGGGAAGGAGACGAGAGGGGCGAAAGAAUGAAGGAGUAACUGAGAGGGAGUGAUGAAGUUCUUAGGAACGUAAACCUCUGUGAACAGGGAAGAACAAAUGUGUAAGUAACUAUGCACGGCUGGACGGUACGGAAUCAGAAAGACAAGCAGAAAAACGAG